GUGAAUCAUCAAAUUUUUGAACGCAAAUUGCACUCUCCGCUGAGAGUAUGCCUGUUUGAGUGUCAGCGUAUAAAAAAUCUACAUCGUUUCUGUUUCGCGGGGGCGUUCGUCGGAAAUUGGGUUAUCUUAAGUCCUUUUGGGUUUUAAGCGACUUAAACUGUUCUUUUUGGUUCCAUGAACAUGUCUAAGAUUUAUUUCUUUACACGUUUAAUG
rnacentral:misc_RNA from 1 species